rnacentral:rRNA from 1 species
AGGCCUAACACAUGCAAGCCGAGCGGUAGAGAUUCUUCGGAAUCUUGAGAGCGGCGCACGGGUGCGGAACACGUGUGCAACCUGCCUUUAUCUGGGGGAUAGCCUUUCGAAAGGAAGAUUAAUACCCCAUAAUAUAUUGAGUGGCAUCACUUGAUAUUGAAAACUCCGGUGGAUAGAGAUGGGCACGCGCAAGAUUAGAUAGUUGGUGAGGUAACGGCUCACCAAGUCAAUGAUCUUUAGGGGGCCUGAGAGGGUGAUCCCCCACACUGGUACUGAGACACGGACCAGACUCCUACGGGAGGCAGCAGUGAGGAAUAUUGGACAAUGGGUGAGAGCCUGAUCCAGCCAUCCCGCGUGAAGGACGACUGCCCUAUGGGUUGUAAACUUCUUUUAUACUGGGAUAAACCUACUUACGUGUAAGUAGCUGAAGGUACAGUAUGAAUAAGCACCGGCUAACUCCGUGCCAGCAGCCGCGGUAAUACGGAGGGUGCAAGCGUUAUCCGGAUUUAUUGGGUUUAAAGGGUCCGUAGGCGG